rnacentral:tRNA from 1 species
GCGGGCAUCUUAUAAUGGAUAUUAUCUCAGCCUUCCAAGCUGAUAAUACGGGUUCGAUUCCCGUUGCCCGCUCCA